rnacentral:rRNA from 1 species
GACGAACGCUGGCGGCGUGCUUAACACAUGCAAGUCGAACGGAAAGGCCCUGCUUUUGUGCGGUGCUCGAGUGGCGAACGGGUGAGUAACACGUGAGUAACCUGCCCUUGACUUUGGGAUAACUUCAGGAAACUGGGGCUAAUACCGGAUAGGAGCUCCUGCUGCAUGGUGGGGGUUGGAAAGUUUCGGCGGUUGGGGAUGGACUCGCGGCUUAUCAGCUUGUUGGUGGGGUAGUGGCUUACCAAGGCUUUGACGGGUAGCCGGCCUGAGAGGGGGACCGGCCACAAGGGGACUGAGGUACGGCCCAGACGGCUACGGGAGGCAGCAGUGGGGAAUAUUGCACAGUGGGCGGGAGCCUGAGGCAGCAACGCCGGGUGCGGGAUGACGGCCUUCGGGUUGUAAACCGCUUUCGCCUGUGACGAAGCGUGAGUGACGGUAAUGGGUAAAGAAGCACCGGCUAACUACGUG